UCUUCAGUCAAGACGCUUGAAUGAGUGGUGUAGGCAAAUGAGAAAAAUAUGAAGACACGCGUUACAUAUAUGUCGGAAAAAAUACAUCCCAAAUGGGUUGGUAAUGCUUGUUAUAAAGACGGUGAGUGUGGCUGAGAGCUUACCCAAGUCACCAGAAGUUUGCAAGGGAAGUGGACGGGCGUCUCAAGCAGUGUAUCAUUUGAUGGUGAGUUUCUGGGGCACCUGGAGGUUGACAAAUAAUUCAAGUUAUUGAAAUCCUGGUUCGAUCCUUGGCUGUUUAACCGGUCGUGAUUGGGAGUCCCAUAGGGCAGCGCACAAUUGGUCCAGUAUCGUUAAAGUUUGGCAGGGAUUCCAUGACGUUUGUCUCCAGUGUUCUGUUCUGUGGGGGGGAAUUAGCUGAAUUGCAAUGAAUGCCAACUCCUGCAGGUGUUCAGCCAAUCGGUUCUGCUGCUCGAUGGCAGGGGCCAUUUUAAUUUGUCUGCUUGCUGCCAUUGUGGCAACAUAAGUUCUGCUGGGCCACAAGGUGGUUGAGGGUGUCAACAUCUUUGGAACAAAUGUUGAGUGUUGCUCCUUUGCCCUGCCAAGACCGCGGACUCCAGGAUUACUUGUAUAGGUUGACAGGACUUGGAGGAUCUUGACAUAGAUGGGAGAUUCUUCAAGAGCUUCAGUUGUGAAAUGAAAUGCUUAACGUAAGCAUUUAGUUGAUUGGGGGACUUUGCCUUAUGCUGUGUGUAUGAACAAUUUAUCUUGGCUUUGAUUCCCUGAUGUUGGCAAGACGACAAUCAAGGAAUUUCAUGGGCGAUAUGUGACACCCUCCUGCCAAAGGGUAACACUUUGACAACUGCUGAUGUAAACAGGAUAUUUAAUAUAAAGUCAAUUGCCACUUAUCAUGCAAUUUGUGCUUGCAGUGUUUGAAUAAAAUAAAAAAAGUUGUCAUCUG